rnacentral:miRNA from 1 species
AACAGGUUAAAUGUGGUGCAGU